UUGCAGCUAAGUAAGCUGACCAUGUGCUCUUCCAUAUGGGGCCCUGAUGUGCAACAAUUGCAAAUAGCAGCUUCCUUAGAAACAUAUGUGCCCUGCUGCUUAUAUGGGUUGCCUUAAGGGAUCUUGGAGACAGUU